rnacentral:rRNA from 1 species
UUCCGGUUGAUCCUGCCGGACCUGACUGCUAUUGGAGUAGGACUAAGUCACGCUAGUCAAAGGUGUGGAAUGGAACACCUGGCGCACGGCUCAGUAACACGUAGUGAAUCUACCCUUAGGACGAGAACAACCACGGGAAACUGUGGCUAAUUCUCGAUAGGAAAUUUGGCCUGGAACGGUAUCUUUCCCAAAACCGGCUCGCCGUGAGACACGGGCCUAAGGAUGGCGCUGCGGCCGAUUAUGCUAGACGGCGGUGUAAAGGACCACCGUGGCGACGAUCGGUAUGGGCGAUGGAAGUCGGAGCCCAGAGUCGGCUACUGAGACAAGGAGCCGAGCCUUACGAGGCUUAGCGGUCGCGAAAACUCGCCAAUGCACGAAAGUGUGAGUGGGCUACUCCAAGUGUCAUUCUUACGGAUGACUGUCGCUCAGUCUUACAAGCUGAGAAAGGAAGGAGAGAGCAAGGCUGGUGCCAGCCGCCGCGGUAAAACCAGCUCUUCGAGUGGUCAGGACGAAUAUUGGGUCUAAAGCGUUCGUAGCGGGACAAGUAGGUUCCUGGUUAAAUCCGACGUCACAAGCGUUGGGCUGCUGGGAAUACCGCUAGUCUUGAGAGCGGGAUAGGACAGGGGUAGUCUAUGGGCAGGGGUGAAAUCCAGUGAUCCAUAGGCGACCACCGAUGGCGAAGGCACCUGUCUGGAACGUAUCUAACCGUGAUGGACGAAAGCCAGGGGAGCGACCCGGAUUAGAUACCCGGUUAGUCCUGGCCGUAAACGAUGCCGACUAGGUGUUGCAGCGGCCAAGAGCCACUGCAGUGCCACAGCGAAGGCGUUAAGUCGGCCACCUGGGGAGUACGAUCGCAAGAUUGAAACUUAAAGGAAUUGACGGGGGCGCACCACCAGGAGUGAAGCCUGCGGUUUAAUUGGAUUCAACGCCGGAA